GAUGAACGCUGGCGGCGUGCCUAAUACAUGCAAGUCGAGCGAACGGACGAGAAGCUUGCUUUUCUGAUGUUAGCGGCGGACGGGUGAGUAACACGUGGAUAACCUACCUAUAAGACUGGGAUAACUUCGGGAAACCGGAGCUAAUACCGGAUAAUAUUUUGAACCGCAUGGUUCAAAAGUGAAAGACGGUCUUGCUGUCACUUAUAGAUGGAUCCGCGCUGCAUUAGCUAGUUGGUAAGGUAACGGCUUACCAAGGCAACGAUGCAUAGCCGACCUGAGAGGGUGAUCGACCACACUGGAACUGAGACACGGUCCAGACUCCUACGGGAGGAAGCAGUAGGGAAUCUUCCGCAAAGGGCGAAAGCCUGACGGAGCAACGCCGCGUGAGUGAUGAAGGUCUUCGGAUCGUAAAACUCUGUUAUUAGGGAAGAACAUAUGUGUAAGUAACUGUGCACAUCUUGACGGUACCUAAUCAGAAAGCCACGGCUAACUACGUG
rnacentral:rRNA from 1 species